rnacentral:rRNA from 1 species
AUUGAACGCUGGCGGCAUGCCUUACACAUGCAAGUCGAACGGCAGCACGGGAGCUUGCUCCUGGUGGCGAGUGGCGAACGGGUGAGUAAUACAUCGGAACGUACCCUGAAGUGGGGGAUAACGUAGCGAAAGUUACGCUAAUACCGCAUAUUCUGUGAGCAGGAAAGAGGGGGAUCGCAAGACCUCUUGCUUUAGGAGCGGCCGAUGUCGGAUUAGCUAGUUGGUGAGGUAAAGGCUCACCAAGGCGACGAUCCGUAGCGGGUCUGAGAGGAUGAUCCGCCACACUGGGACUGAGACACGGCCCAGACUCCUACGGGAGGCAGCAGUGGGGAAUUUUGGACAAUGGGCGCAAGCCUGAUCCAGCCAUGCCGUGUGAGUGAAGAAGGCCUUCGGGUUGUAAAGGUACUCUUUCGGUUGGGGUAAGGAAAGUUAGCUUCGGUUAA